GUUGGGAAGGUGUUGGUGGGCUAUGGGUUCUAAGAGAGCGCCGCUUGGAACUUCGCGUCUCCGAACGGUGCGGAGCCGAUUCAGUGGAGUAUCUAAGGGUUGAGCUAUUUUCCGCGACCUUUGUUGCAGGUCAAGAGAGGAGUGCGGAACCAGGCGAACGGGAUAACGGACUGCCAGCCCCACCGGGAACGGCCACGCCCACCUGUUGGAAGAGGCCGGACAGAAAGGUGUAGGGAGACGGGCAGGCGUGUGAACGCGGCUGUGAGAACCGGACUGGCUCACGGCGAGGAAGAGCCUGAGUGAUUCCAAGCCCAGGAUGGAGGUGUGCCCUUAUUGUAAGAAGCCAUUUAAGCGAUUAAAAUCCCACUUGCCGCACUGUAAAAUGACAGGAUCAUCCAUACCCGCUGAUCAAAAAGUUUCUCAGUCCAAGACAGCGACACUUACUAAAAAAGAGAAGAGGCCCACCAGAGACUUAACCAGAGCUGAAGAGAAGGAGCUAGAGAGAGAGGGUCCGAAAAGAACUGUGAAAGUGGAAACCAGCCAAGCAGAGUGGACAACUGCAGCCUCUCCGCUUCCAGAGGGUGCCUCGGAAGGCACCCAUACAACAAAAGCAGGAGAAACCAAAGAGAAAAAGCUGCUCUCCUUCCGAGUACUCAGGCGCACCAAGCCAGAGGUGACUCUGCAGAGAGUCACAGCCCCUCAGUCUCCUCCCAAGAUAGAAUCCACCAGAGAUGUGUCUGAGUCCAAGGGAAGUCCACGCUGCCCCUCAGAGACAGAAGCAUCUUCACUGGUCAGCUCAAGGGAACCUUUUUCUACUAAGCAAGACAGAGAGCAUGUGUCAGCUCAGCCUCAUGCUAAACCAGCCACUUCUGCCAGGCUCAGAUUGGACACAGCGGAUCCCCAAAGGCAGAAGCUUCUGGUAAAAUUAUUAGAUGUGCCUACUGGUGAUUGUCGUUCUCCAAAGAAUGGCAGCCAUGGGGUUCAGAGAGUAGCACCCUCAGUGUCAAGCAGGGAGAAAGACUCCCAAGAUGGAGGCCACCUCUCAGGAGUCUCUCCCCACUCUGGUGACCCCGAGACCCAAAGGUCAGAAUCACUCCUCUUGGGCCUUCACAAUGGCCUGCUGGGUAAAGCACAGGUCAGAGAGCAUCAAGAACUUGGCCUUGGGAUGGAGUUGAGCCAGAGUAAGGGAAAUACUGAGAACAGGAUGUCCGUCACAGAUGGACAGGAAGCCACUGGCUUGGGCCACCGUGGUAAGGACCCCAUUGCAGCCACAAAGGCAAAGCCAAAGGCCACCCUUGAAUUUAGGAAUGUGUUCAUGCCACCACAGGGAGCUCUGAGUCAGCCUCUCUCAGUGCCAGGGUCAGAGAGUCAGAGCCUCCCCUCUCUAGCUGUGACUUCUACUCCAGAAGAGAAAGGCCAGUUCUGUGGACAAAGUCAAGUGCCUGCCAUGACACUCAGGCACCACUUAGCGUCACACUCCGCUCAGUGUCAUAUUCCCGAGAACUUCCCCACUACCUCAGAGGCUCCUCCCAGGUCUGUGGGACUGGAGUGGUUUCCAGAACUCUAUCCUGGUUACGUUGGACUGGGGGUGUUGCCAAGGAGGCCUCAGCCUUGGAACUGGGCAGCUCAGAUGCCUCCUCUUGCCACUUUCCAGGGCAGGAGCGUCUCAAAAGUUCCUUGGUGGGAAAGAAGUUCGGCUGAUAGCAGGAGUUUGGAACCCCUGGCGCUUACAACUUCCAGCCUCCCUCUAAUGAGACUCUUGGGAGCUGUGCACAAAGGCUGGGUGCUGUGCAACACCACCAUAAAGAGGAGUGGUGUCGGACGCCUCUCGAUGCUGUUUGCUGGCUACUUUGUCCUGUGCUGUAGCUGGAGCUUCAAGCAUCUGAAGCUGCAGCGCUGGCGUAAGUAAGGAUGAGCGUGCCCGGGAGCCACGGAAUGUGACAGAGACUGCAGAGAAGAGACACUUUAAAUUUGUGCCAGGUCAGGGAGAGUGCAAAUAAUAAAAUGCUGAAAUCGCGG
rnacentral:lncRNA from 1 species